UAAUGAGUUUGAUCAUGGUCCAGAGUGAUCGCUGGCGUACAGGCCAGACACGGCCCAGACUCCUACGGGAGGCAGCAGUGGGGAAUAUUGCACAAUGGGCGAAAGCCUGAUGCAGCGACGCCGCGUGAGGGAUGACGGCCUUCGGGUUGUAAACCUCUUUCAGCAGGGAAGAAGCGAAAGUGACGGUACCUGCAGAAGAAGCGCCGGCUAACUACGUGCCAGCAGCCGCGGUAAUACGUAGGGCGCAAGCGUUGUCCGGAAUUAUUGGGCGUAAAGAGCUCGUAGGCGGCUUGUAACGUCGGAUGUAAAAGCCCGAGGCUUAACCUCGGGUCUGCAUUCGAUACGGGCUAGCUAGAGUGUGGUAGGGGAGAUCGGAAUUCCUGGUGUAGCGGUGAAAUGCGCAGAUAUCAGGAGGAACACCGGUGGCGAAGGCGGAUCUCUGGGCCAUUACUGACGCUGAGGAGCGAAAGCGUGGGGAGCGAACAGGAUUAGAUACCCUGGUAGUCCACGCCGUAAACGUUGGUGGCGACAUUCCACGUCGUCGGUGCCGGUCGGUGUCGCAGCUAACGCAUUAAGCUCCC
rnacentral:rRNA from 1 species